UACGUAGGGUGCGAGCGUUAAUCGGAUUUACUGGGCGUAAAGCGUGCGCAGGCGGCCCGUUAAGACAGGUGUGAAAUCCCUGGGCUCAACCUAGGAAUUGCGCUUGUGACUGGCGGGCUCGAGUACGGUAGAGGGGGGUGGAAUUCCUGGUGUAGCAGUGAAAUGCGUAGAGAUCAGGAGGAACACCGAUGGCGAAGGCAGGUCUCUGGGCAUUAACUGACGCUGAGGUGCGAGAGCGUGGGGAGCAAACAGG
rnacentral:rRNA from 1 species